UACGGAGGGGCUAGCGUUGUUCGGAAUUACUGGGCGUAAAGCGCACGUAGGCGGCUAUUCAAGUCAGAGGUGAAAGCCUGGAGCUCAACUCCAGAACUGCCUUUGAAACUAGAUGGCUAGAAUCAUGGAGAGGUCAGUGGAAUUCCGAGUGUAGAGGUGAAAUUCGUAGAUAUUCGGAAGAACACCAGUGGCGAAGGCGGCUGACUGGACAUGUAUUGACGCUGAGGUGCGAAAGCGUGGGGAGCAAACAGG
rnacentral:rRNA from 1 species